rnacentral:rRNA from 1 species
UACGUAGGGGCUGCGACGUUUGUCCGGAAUUAUUGGGCGUAAAGAGCUUGUAGGUGGUUUGUCGCGUCUGCUGUGAAAAUCCGAGGCUCAACCUCGGACUUGCAGUGGGUACGGGCAGACUAGAGUGUGGUAGGGGAGACUGGAAUUCCUGGUGUAGCGGUGGAAUGCGUAGAUAUCUGGAAGAACACCAAUGGCGAAGGCAAUGUUCUGGCUCGUUUCUGACGCUCAGGUGCGAAAGCCAGGGGAGCGAACGG